GGGGGACACGGCCCUUCCCUGAGCUGUCCCGACCUCUUUACACUUCGUUUGCAACAGGUCAAUAGCAGGAACUAGAGUACAGUUGGGGAAUGUAUAUAUAUAUACUGGACAAGCUGGAAGUGCCUCAGCACAUCACACAGCUCUCCAAGCAGAAUACUCAAGUAUUCUUGCAGUCAUUUCCAAGCAUGUUGAGCUAAGCUUCAGGUUGAGGAGAACUCUUUGCCAAGAUGAAAAGAGGCAAAGGAGAGUCAUGAGCUUAAGUGGAAAAGAUUUCCUUGGAAGGGUGAAAACCAACAUUUUUCCUGUGAAGUUCUGAUAACAGGAAGAUAGCCCAGGGCUGCAAUCAGCGAUAAAAACCCUCAUGCUUGUUAAUUUAUUCUCCUUUUCUAAGAAACAGAGAUCACUGCAGAAAGGUAUGACUGAGAAGAUAUGGAUUGUUGAAGAUAAUUUAUGUUGUCUGAAGUCUUGUAGUCAUACACAGGACAAUUCAAGGGGAGACUGCUGUAAAUGGAAGGGAUGACCGUUCCCUGUGUCACUUUUACAAGGCUUAUUCCCAUCUCUUCAUCUCCUUUCCAAAGAAGAACAGUGAAUGCUGUGACCAGGAAUCAAUUGGAGAGCAAGCAGCAGCACCUGCCACCUUCCAUUGCUUCACACAUGUUUAAGAUAUUAUAUCACUAAUUUACUGUGGGUCAAGCUGAUGAUGACUACUGGUCUCUUCCUCUUAAUCUGCUACCACCAACCAUCUGUUUUCUGCAGAGAUCUCAAAUACUUUUCAAAGCUUUUAGAAAGAUGAGAUUUUAUGUCCAAAUAAUAUUGUGAUCUUAUUUUCAAUAUGUAUUGUGCCCUAUGUUUGUUAUCUGGGGUUUUUUACCAUUUUAAUUAUUUAAUUUUUUUUUUCAAUUUAGAACCACAAAGUUGUUGGCCAGCUUUUUCAAUUCUUUAACCAUGCUUUUCAAUGGAAAGGGGGUAGCUUGAAUUGUUAAACUAGGUCCUACCCUUUGCUCUUUGCUGUUUGUGUGUUUGUUUGUUUGUUUUUAAAAGAAUGGAUUUAGGCAUCACAGCAGGUUGUGUGACAUGAUUCAUUUUUCAUCAGUUUCUUGUCUGGAGACAGCAUAAACAGUUAGGUUUAUACUGGGCAGAUAUAAGAGCCUUUGUAAGUAAUGAACUUUCACUCAGUCCUCACUUCAGAGAGUUCUAAACAGAAACAGCAUCUCAUCUUGUAUUCGUAAUUCUUACUUAUGACACUACAAUAUAAUAAAUUUGUAUUUUCUGGCAAAGGAGCCAGAAAAAGAAGGAUGCAACUGGUGGCAACAGACAGAAGCUUCCUU